GGAUGGUUGAAAUAUGAUGAGUAUGGAAAAUAAUUGAUUUAAAAAUGAGAAAGAAUAAGAUCCAACUCUGAUUUCAUCUGAAG
ensembl:snoRNA predicted gene, 24916